rnacentral:rRNA from 1 species
UACGGGGGGGGGCAAGCGUUGUUCGGAAUUACUGGGCGUAAAGGGCUCGUAGGCGGCCCUCUCAGUCGGAUGUGAAAUCCCCAGGCUCAACCUGGGAAUGGCAUCCGAUACUGGAGGGCUUGAAUCCGGGAGAGGGAUGCAGAAUUCCAGGUGUAGCGGUGAAAUGCGUAGAUAUCUGGAGGAACACCGGUGGCGAAGGCGGCGUUCUGGACUGCAACUGACGACUGAGGAACGAAAGCCAGGGGAGCAAACAGG